rnacentral:rRNA from 1 species
AUUGAACGCUGGCGGCAGGCCUAACACAUGCAAGUCGAGCGGAUGAAGGGAGCUUGCUCCUGGAUUCAGCGGCGGACGGGUGAGUAAUGCCUAGGAAUCUGCCUGGUAGGGGUGGAUAACGUCCUGAAACGGGCGCUAAUACCGCAUACGUCCUGAGGGAGAAAGUGGGGGAUCUUCGGACCUCUCGCUAUCAGAUGAGCCUAGGUCGGAUUAGCUAGUUGGUGGGGUAAAGGCCUACCAAGCCGACGAUCCGUAACUGGUCUGAGAGGAUGAUCAGUCACACUGGAACUGAGACACGGUCCAGACUCCUGCGGGAGGCAGCAGUGGGGAAUAUUGGGCAAUGGGCGAAAGCCUGAUCCAGCCGUGCCGCGUGUGUGAAGAAGGUCUUCGGAUUGUAAAGCACUUUAAGUUGGGAGGAAGGGCAGUAAGUUAAUACCUUGCUGUUUUGACGUUACCAACAGAAUAAGCACCGGCUAACUUCGUG